rnacentral:rRNA from 1 species
UACGGGAGGCAGCAGUGGGGAAUAUUGCACAAUGGGCGCAAGCCUGAUGCAGCCAUGCCGCGUGUAUGAAGAAGGCCUUCGGGUUGUAAAGUACUUUCAGUCGUGAGGAAGGUGUUAAGGUUAAUAACCUUAGCAAUUGACGUUAGCGACAGAAGAAGCACCGGCUAACCCCGUGCCAGCAGCCGCGGUAAUACGGAGGGUGCGAGCGUUAAUCGGAAUUACUGGGCGUAAAGGGCACGCAGGCGGUUAAUUAAGUUGGAUGUGAAAUCCCCGGGCUUAACCUGGGAAUGGCAUUCAAGACUGGUUAGCUAGAGUCUUGUAGAGGGGGUAGAAUUCCAUGUGUAGCGGUGAAAUGCGUAGAGAUGUGGAGGAAUACCGGUGGCGAAGGCGGCCCCUGGACAAAGACUGACGCUCAUGUGCGAAAGCGUGGGGAGCAAACGAGGAUUAGGAUACC